AAUCUGUAAUUUUUCGAAUUUAAUUUUGUGCAGUUUUUGGCGCCCCCUUCUAAUUAUCCCCCGAGUAGUUUCGGUUUUCUGUUUACAUUUGUUAGAGACUUAGAGUUCAGAGUGCCCGGCUGCGAAGUAAAAAAUCGGUGGUUUGAAUUCUGCAAUAAAAUACACCUAUUACAUUAAACACACAAUAAGAAUAGUUUCGUAGUUAUGACGAUCAUCCCGGAAUGUUAAAAAGUGUGAGAUACUAUUUGUGAAAAGAUCUAGCGUGUUAAUGUUUUAAGCGUAUCUGUUAGAUUUCAUUUUUCGUCGAUGUCGCUUUCCUUCGGUGAGCUCGCGUCAAUUUUCCCAUGAAGACAACUCGACUUGUACCGUAGUAAAUUGAUGAACAUCUCGGUACUAACUGCUGCGAAAGGUGCAGCAGCUAUGCCGGACUCAGGUGAAUCCAAACGAAAGAGAAGAGUGGAAGAAAACAACGAUUUCAUUCAGCGAAAGCAAAAGUGUCCAGAAUGUCUGGAACCAACUGGGAGGUUGUUAAAACAGGCUAGAAAAGCUUGCGAAGAAUUCAGCGAAUCCACCAUCUUCUACCAAACUCGAGGACAAGGAUAGAGAAGGCCUUGAUAAAAGAACAUCAAAGAUAGAAGAAGAUGAAAUCAAACAGCUUCGAACGCUUACAACACUUGGCUACGAUCCGCGAUUCCUCCACGAGAAGCGCCAUCUUAUCUGUGAUUUCGUUUUAGAAUCUCUUAUGAAUGGGUAAUGCCUUGCACAUGUCUACACCUAUGCGUUUGAUUUCUAGUGCGCUUAACAUAAAGCUAUAUUAUUAUAUGUAAUACGUACUUUACCUUUAUUAACCAACAGCCGAGAUAUGUACAAGUCUGCUCCUGGAUGCCGUUGCAAGAUUGUCAGCGAAUUACAGAAUCAUUUUGUAAUGUACCUAUUAUAAAAUUAUAGAAAAAUACGCUAUAGCCACGUUUGCUCCUUGUAGUUUAAGUGAAGAUAGCGGUUGUUAACAGAAUAUGAUUCAAUAACAUGGGAAAAGUUCUGUGUUAAAGUCUCGAUAAAGUUUCACUGUUUCACCUAGAUUACCUAUGCAUUGAGACAUGCGUGCAUAUAGUAAAAAAUGAACGCGUAGAUAGCAGAAUUUCUCUCAUUUUUUUCUCGUUGGUUUUCUAGGUCUUCAUAACAUGAAAUCAAAGCGCACAGCCAAGGGCUCUUGUAGGAAGUGGUAAAUCGGUCUUUGUGCCUGAGCUUUAUAAGCAGAAAACAAAGAAAGCCAAAAACAAAUGGAGAUGAUCUUAAAAAUUGCAUCAGCUAAUUAUUUGUUCGCAUUUAGGGUGCGAGCAACGUAUCACGGACCUAGGCGCAGAUUAAAAUCGUGUUAAUGUGGGCAGCAAUUUUACACUAGCUACUCUGAAUACAAAUGAGAUCGAAACGAUUCUAGGGGUUAUAUAUGGAACGGUAGCACGUAGGACACUCGGUAAGGUAUUUUUUUUUUAUCAAGAAUGAAUGUUAUUAUAAAUAGUAGAAAAAGACGAAGAAACAUCUGAUGGAGGAAUUACUAUUUAUAGAGUAAAACUACGAAAAGGAGACGCAUUUUCGAUAUAUAAAAGACUGGUGGAUCAAUAAAGUCAUAAAGCCUUUCUCAAAGAUGGACGAUGGUCGAUCGGUUUUCCUGUCUUAAAAGCGUUUUGUUCAAAACACACUUCUAGCAAACUAACGCUGCUAGUGAUUACUUGAGAGUCUCACGCUGAGGUAUAUGUUUUUUAUACUGUGUCUGAUCUGCGAUUGGUUGGUACGUGUACAGAAAUAGGCAGGAGUUAUCUGGGGUAUCCUAUUUUUUCUGUCAACUCGACAAUUCUAGCGCACCUCUUAGCCAUUCGUUAGCUGCUGCAAUUUAGAGUUUGUGGUAGAUUGACACGUUAAUCUGAUUGCCACUGUCAUCAGCAAGUGAGAUUCUACUCAGAUCACUUCUUUAAGGCCGUGGAUGUACAUCUGGUAUCACUAUUUGGUAUUUGUACAGUAUGUACUGUUUAUUACUGCUGGUAUUACUAUAUGUACAAUAUAGAGUAGUUUCGGCACAGUGUCUUGGGCCGCAAGACCCAGGUCGACGACACCCACUAUUGUAAUAAUUGUCAUGAUUUACGUAUAAUAAUACUAACCGUAACACAGGCAGCGGCAAGAGCGUCACAUUAGACAGAGGAAAAUUAGCUGAUUGCGGCUGAGUUUCAAAGCUCAUGAAUCUUCAACGACAUGCGUAAUUUUAACGCAACACAAAAGAGUGCGACUCUCAAUAACAACUCACAACUUCUCAAAGUGACAUUCAAAACUACCUAGAAAAAAAGCCAAUAUUCUACAGCUAGGAAACUUUACCAAAGCCCCCCGAUACUGCCGAAGCAAAUAUCCCAAGGUAAGGCCCGAUAUCCGUAAACGACACCCACACAUUAAGAUGAAACAGGACUACAUAACGCUUGUCACAGUCAUUCACUGACGGAUUAUGACUAAUCAAUUGUUAAUUCGAAAUUCAAGUUCACGCGAAAAUCGUUGUCUGAUCUGAUAGUUAAGGAUGUCAUUUGGAGAAAAUAGUUGACACUUUCCAUAUUAUAGAAAGGGUAAAAAUUAAUGGAAGACUGGAAACAACUCGGUAGCAGGCAAGGGGUUCUAAAUCAAUGUAAAAAACUUGCCCUAUAUUUUUUCUAUACUUUAGCGAAACUAUUUUUCGAUCAUUACGCCUGUAGAUCAUUACGCCAUUAGAAUAAGCAAACGUAAAGCAAAAAGGUAAUACAAGUUAUACGGAAUAUUAUACCAAUAAGCAUAACGUUGAGGUAUAAUGACCUCCUGAACACGUAGCAACCUUUGCGUUCCAUAUAUUGUUUGGAAUCUUGUUAUCAUUUGAAUUGAUAGAUAAGUACUUCGGUGCGAAUUAAUUAAACUUGAAACAGAGGAAACUGGAACGAACGCGAACUUACCGUUUCCUCUGUUUAAAUGCAACCGCCUUCAAUAACCAAUGCGUUCAUCCGAAAAUGCACAUUAUCCAACGUUUAGCAUUAAAUGUAUCAUUAAUAUAACCGUAUGUAUCAUUAGUAUAAAUAUGACUAGAGCUUCACUAGUUGUGACAUUACCUUUUUUAAUUUUUUUAAGAAGGGGGAAGUGUUAUUCACAUUAGUGAACACCAUCCGGGAUGGAAAUAAGUUCGGCAAACUUAGUUUGAUUUUAAAAAAUCACCUCUUGUCAUCUCUCUCUAAACGUAUGCCAAUGAUUUGGAACCGCUGAAAUGUUAUGUUGAUGCAGUACAGACGUUGGCGACUAAGGGUUGGUUACUUCAGUCAACACGUGACCAACUUAAAAUGCUCAUGCAAGGUUAUCGAUUAGUAUUUGCAACGGCUUGAUUCUGCCAAAAAUCUACCGUUUGAUACGUUACGUACACAUUCGAGUAAUGAUCAAGGUGUCGUUGGAACGUGGGCAAAUAACACGAGGUUCGCUGUCUCCUUGUAAGCCUUAGAUAAAAAUAAGAACACUAUGACGUUUGAAAACACGUCUUUUCACAUAAUUUGAAUGCUUUUUUAUUUCUACGUCGUUAUAAAUUUUCAACGAUUCCACCAAUGUUAACCACAUCCAGAAUUGUAAGACUUGUCAUACGCUCAAGGGUAAUAGUUUGUGGAUCUCACUUUCGCUAUAGCUGUUCCUGCCGAA